AUACGGAGGGUCCAAGCGUUAUCCGGAAUCAUUGGGUUUAAAGGGUCCGCAGGCGGUCUAUUAAGUCAGAGGUGAAAGCCCAUCGCUCAACGAUGGAACUGCCUUUGAUACUGGUUGACUUGAGUUAUACGGAAGUAGAUAGAAUAAGUAGUGUAGCGGUGAAAUGCAUAGAUAUUACUUAGAAUACCGAUUGCGAAGGCAGUCUACUACGUAUAUACUGACGCUGAGGGACGAAAGCGUGGGGAGCGAACAGGAUUAGAAACCCUAGUAGUCC
rnacentral:rRNA from 1 species